AGCCGGUGAACGCUGGGACGUGUCGGUGCAGCUAACCUCAUAAAACCACCACUGGGUUCUGAGGCUCGGGAGGGGAUCCUCAGGAGGGCACUCAGAGCGGCCACUAGGGGGGCUUCAUCAGGGGGUCCUCAUAGGGGCUCUUCAUCAGGAGCUCUUCAUCAGGAGGUCUUCAUCAGGGGGUCCUCAUCAGGGGGGCUUCAUCAGGAGGUCUUCAUCAGGAGGGCUUCAUCAGGGGGUCUUCCUCAGGAGGUCUUCAUCAGGGGGUCUUCAUCAGCAGCUCUUCAUCAGGAGGGCUUCAUCAGGGUUCUUCAUCAGGAGGUCUUCAUCAGGAGGGCUUCAUCAGGGUUCUUCCUCAGGAGGUCUUCAUCAGGAGGUCUUUAUCAGGGGGUCUUCCUCAGGAGGUCUUCAUCAGGAGGUCUUCAUCAGCUCUUCAUCAGGAGGUCUUCAUCAGGAGCUCUCCAUCAGCUCUUCAUCAGGAGGAGGUGCUGUUGCUCUGGAGGUUCUGUGCCCCCCCCCCCCGCCUGGUGUGAUGGAUGGCAGCGCUGUGUCAACACAGAUGUGUCCCGUUCCACAGCGGGCAGGGUGGGGGGGCGCCCUGUGACGUCAUGCUGGUGGAAACUGUGGAUAACAGCCGGCAGCAGGCUUCCUGUCGCUCAGAGCACAGCCCUCAGGGAGCCUUCGUUCAUCCCCAGCUCCGGUCCUGGUCCUCUGCUGGUCAGG
ensembl:lncRNA